rnacentral:lncRNA from 1 species
AACUUAAUGUGACACAAGGUAACUUUCUCUUCAUGGUUAACUUUCUCUUCUUGCUUCCUGUUCAACUUGAUGACAACUUAAUGUGACACAAGGUAACUUUCUCUACAUGCUUCCUGUUCAACUUGAUGACAACUUAAUGUGACACAAGGUAACUUUCUCUACAUGCUUCCUGUUCAACUUGAUGACAACUUAAUGUGACACAAGCUAACUUUCUCUUCAUGUUUCCUGUUCAACUUGAUGACAACUUAAUGUGACACAAGCUAACUUUCUCUUCAUGUUUCCUGUUCAACUUGAUGACAACUUAAUGUGACACAAGCUAACUUUCUCUUCAUGUUUCCUGUUCAACUUGAUGACAACUUAAUGUAACACAAGGUAACUUUCUCUACGUGCUUCCUGUUCAACUUGAUGAUAACUUAAUGUGACACAAGCUUAACUUUCUCUUCGUGUUUCCUGUUCAACUUGAUGACAACUUAAUGUACGUCUUUUUGAGUUAAGAUUUUCUGUCUUCCCUCUCGUGGUUUGAAUCCUUCUAUCGGUAUGUAUAGGGGAUUAAGGAUUUAUGAAACUUUUGUAUAUUUACAUGGAGUUAUUUUAACUUUUAAUACUUAAAAAAUGAGAAUAAUAUUUUUUAACGUAUGAAUUUAUAUCGUGAUAUGAUAUUAUAAGAAAUUUAUUUGACUUUAUUAUGUGUAGUAAACUAUUCACCAAUAUAUAUGUCGAACAAAACGCUUAACUAUAAACAGCUCGAGUUGACAACAUGAACUAAUCAAGUCAAGAGGACCUGGUUAAAGUAAAAAAAUACCGUGUAAUGAUGGCAAGUUAGGUAAGAAUCAUCAGCCAUAAUAAAUACAACCAAAGCCUAGUGUUACUUAUUACAGUCAGAAUCAAAUUUUGAACGACACAUCAAAACUGAAACCUACUAGAUAGAAUACAACACAUGACUUUAGUGUUAAGCAUCUGCGUCACAAUACCUACAGCUUAGAUAUAUAUAUUGCUGUCUAGGUUUUAGGGUAGUUUAGAAUAGAUAAGUAUAUGGAGAUGAAUAAAUAGAUAGUCGGUGGAUUUUUUUAGUAUUACUAGCCAUAAAACAAUCCGGCCUGUGACUAAUGUGAGCGCGCAGCUUUUAUGAUCCGGUUGCUCAAGAAGUAUAUCCAAGAAAGUCCGUUAAUAAUCUUUGUAGAAUUCUAGUCAUUAGAUAAUCGUAACGUUCCGGACGUGAAUGUAUAGACGAGCUUUAGUUUUUUGUCCAGCUACGUUCUGUCUAUUUAUUUUUAAUUCACUCGGAGAGAGAGAUAAUACUGUGAUUGGAUUUUAUGAGAAAUGUAUUGAUUUAUUAUUUUAUACUUCGUAAAAUAAUGUUUCUUAUUCGAAAAAAACGUUUAUGUUUUACUAAACCUAACCAUGUAGAAUGGUUGAAAUUGUUUUAACAUUCCAUCUCUGAUCGAAACCUAAAUCUAAUGUGUUAAUCAUUAUGUUACUUUCACCCUUGAUUUAGGUAUUUUUAAUGCUUAGGAGCUAUUAGUGUAUGUAUGUACAUAUAAUGUUCUUUAAACAUUCCAUAUUGUUUUCAUUCCAAAAGAUUUUAUAUACGUCUACAAUCAGUUUGGGUGUGAUUUUUUUUUGUAUUGUAAUUAUAUAUAAAACAUUUCAUGUAGCGCCAUCUUUGGGUAAGUUUAAGCAUGCUAUUUUAUAUUUGAAUUAUUAAGAGAUUCAUCAUUACAUUUUUGUAAUAAUGAUAGUUUUAUAGUUCCUGUCAUUGAAAGUUCGGUUGUUAAAUGUAUACCUUUUAUUACACUUGUGUAUUCCACAACACUUAUUACGUUAGAUAUUAUUAUAAUAAUAAAAGGCUGAUGGUAAAAUGUUUACAAAACGUUGAUUGUACGAUGUACUACUGUUGAAGUUUUCCUUUUAACCGCCUACGUUAAAGGUCCCAGAGGCUUCUGGUGCCAUACAUUUUAUUUUUUAAUCAACUUAUGCACAUUAUAAGUUAUUUCUGUUUUGGGUUAUCACACUCACCUUUGUGUUGUAAACUAAUUAAUCAUUUUUCGUGUUCAAACUAUUUUAGUGUGUUUUUUGUAUAUGCCAACUGAAGCUCUUUUUCUUUGCCAGAUAUUAAACUGUCUUAAGGCAUCGUGUAAUAAAAAUGUUAAUGUUGAAUCCCUUAUAGCUAAUGAUUUGAUCAGUUUCUCAAUUAAAAUUACACCUUUUUCCAAGAAGAAAUCGUGUAGCUGAGAGUUUCCACUGUUGCCAAAUCGUCCUUCCAUCCACUUCUUAAGUGAAACAUAACAGUUUUCUUUCCUUGUAUUAAAAUCCUUGAAGAGCCAUUAAAGCUUCUGUUUAAUGUUCA